UCCGCUCAUGAACAUAGGGACACUGUUCGCGAAACUUUCGCGAACGUUGUUCGCGAAAUUCGCGAACA
rnacentral:pre_miRNA from 1 species